UUGAAUUCGUGAGAUAUUGGAUGUUGAUUUUGGUUGGUUCGAGGUGUAAUUUGAUUUCAGUUGUUUAGUAAAAUUAUAUUUUCAAUAUUUUUCUCAUUUGAGGGGUUGCAAAAAGCGCGUUAACCUCCCAUUAUUUUUUCGGUCCAGUUGCCGGAGUUUAGUACUAAAUUGAAUCUUUCUAGAAAAUUUGGAAAAUUCAAAGUGGAUAAAAAGUGACUAAUGUUAACAUAAAAUGAUACGAAGAAAGUCAUAAAAAAGAAAAUCGUGUGAUUCAAAAACUAAAGUAUAUGGAAAUAUCUGUGGAAUCCUAAAAACAAGGAAACAAAGAUGUCCUUAUAAGCUAAAACGAAAACUUAAAUUGAUUGAGUGUAAGUUUUAGUAAGCUUGAAUACGGAAUGUCUAAUCUAUUAAAUCCUUUGGGGAUAAGUGGUAGUAGUCACAUCGGUUGGGACGACGUCAAUUAAAUGAACAAAGUUGAAUAAUAUCGUCAAUGACAGUUUAGAAAGAAAAUUCAUCAACGCAUCGCACAUGUUCAUUUCUAUGUAUCACUUGAACUAUCUAGAAUGCCAAGAAGUUUAUCUAAAAUAAAAACUGUUCAGUGACAAAGAAGAAUGGCAGCAAGUGUUUAGGUUUGCCAGUUCUGACUAAAAAAGUGCUGCUAAGCAAGGACCUCAAGGACAUGACAAGCGUUAAGAUUCUACGCUGCGAUGGAUGAACACUCAAAACAGCGAAAAAGGGCGAGAUAAUAAUGAUCAAAUAUAUCCAGUUCAGUGAUACACCUUCCCUUUUCUUGAAUGGUUGGAUGCCCGGAAGGUCAUAUUCACACAUGUAAGCUUCCCGAUUCAACGGAAAAUAUCUAAAAUUUCGGAAACAUCUCCAGAAACAGAUAGUUAUUUGUUACUUAUCCCAAAUGUGUCAUUUAUUUAUU